rnacentral:rRNA from 1 species
GACGAACGCUGGCGGCGUGCUUAACACAUGCAAGUCGAACGGAAAGGCCCUGCUUUUGUUGGGUGCUCGAGUGGCGAACGGGUGAGUAACACGUGAGUAACCUCCCCUUGACUUUGGGAUAACUUCAGGAAACUGGGGCUAAUACCGGAUAGGAUCUCCUGCUGCAUGGUGGGGGUUGGAAAGUUUCGGCGGUUGGGGAUGGACUCGCGGCUCAUCAGCGAGUUGGUAAGGUAGUGGCUUACCAAGGCUAUGACGGGUAGCCGGCCUGAGAGGGUGAUCGGCCACACGGGAACUGAGACACGGUCCAGACUCCUACGGGAGGCAGCAGUAGGGAAUCUUCCGCAAUGGGCGAAAGCCUGACGGAGCAACGCCGCGUGAGUGAUGAAGGUCUUCGGAUCGUAAAACUCUGUUAUUAGGGAAGAACAAAUGUGUAAGUAACUAUGCACGUCUUGACGGUACCUAAUCAGAAAGCCACGGCUAACUACGUG